rnacentral:rRNA from 1 species
CCUACGGGACGCAGCAGUGGGGAAUAUUGGGCAAUGGGCGCAAGCCUGACCCAGCAACGCCGCGUGAAGGAAGAAGGCUUUCGGGUUGUACACUUCUCUUAAGGGGGAAGAGCAGAAGACGGUACCCCUUGAAUAAGCCACGGCUAACUACGUGCCAGCAGCCGCGGUAAUACGUAGGUGGCAAGCGUUGUCCGGAUUUACUGGGUGUAAAGGGCGUGCAGCCGGAGAGACAAGUCAGAUGUGAAAUCCACGGGCUCAACCCGUGAACUGCAUUUGAAACUGUUUCCCUUGAGUGUCGGAGAGGUAAUCGGAAUUCCUUGUGUAGCGGUGAAAUGCGUAGAUAUAAGGAAGAACACCAGUGGCGAAGGCGGAUUACUGGACGAUAACUGACGGUGAGGCGCGAAAGCGUGGGGAGCAAACAGGAUUAGAUACCCUUGUAGUC